AUAUGCUAAGAAAUCAUAUAAUAAAUUAUCGUCAAAAUAAUGAAAGUGGAGUAAAACCGAUAAUUAAUAUAAAUUUAACUCAAGAUGAAUUUGAGACGAUUAAGACACCUUUAAAAUUUAAUCUCCCCAAAUUAAUGAUUUUAAAACAUCACCUCUCUCAAAAUUUUUUCAUAUUUUAAUUCCCAAUCAUUUUUCUCGAAAAGAUUUUAAAAAUAAAUUUCAAGCACCAAAA
rnacentral:lncRNA from 1 species